AUUGAACGCUGGCGGCAGGCUUAACACAUGCAAGUCGAGCGAGCGGCGGACGGGUGAGUAAUGUCUGGGAAACUGCCUGAUGGAGGGGGAUAACUACUGGAAACGGUAGCUAAUACCGCAUACCAUCAGAUGUGCCCAGAUGGGAUUAGCUAGUAGGUGGGGUAAUGGCUCACCUAGGCGACGAUCCCUAGCUGGUCUGAGAGGAUGACGAGCCACACUGGAACUGAGAAACGGUCCAGAUGCCAACGGAAGGCAGAAGUGGGGAAUGUUGCACAAUGGGGGCAAGCCUGAUGCAGCCAUGCGGCGUGUGUGAAGAAGGCCUGCGGGUUGUAAAGCACUUUCAGCGAGGAGGCGUUACUCGCAGAAGAAGCAACGGCUAACUCCGUGCCAGCAGCCGCGGUAAUAC
rnacentral:rRNA from 1 species